UACGUAGGGUGCGAGCGUUGUCCGGAAUUAUUGGGCGUAAAGGGCUCGUAGGCGGUUUGUCGCGUCGGGAGUGAAAACACACAGCUUAACUGUGUGCUUGCUUCCGAUACGGGCAGACUAGAGGUAUGCAGGGGAGAACGGAAUUCUCGGUGUAGCGGUGAAAUGCGUAGAUAUCGAGAGGAACACCUGAGGCGAAGGCGGGUUGCUAGGCUGACACUGACGCUGAGGCGCGAAAGCUAGGGUAGCAAACGGG
rnacentral:rRNA from 1 species